rnacentral:rRNA from 1 species
UACAUGGGGUGCAAACGUUGCUCGGAAUCAUUGGGCGUAAAGCGCGCGUAGGCGGUUACUUAAGUUGGAUGUGAAAGCCCUCGGCUUAACUGAGGAAGUGCAUCCAAAACUGAGUAGCUAGAGUACGAAAGAGGGUCGCGGAAUUCCCGGUGUAGAGGUGAAAUGCGUAGAUAUCUGGAGGAACACCGGUGGCGAAGGCGGCAUUCUGGACCGACAUUGACGCUGAGGAGCGAAAGCCAGGGGAGCAAACGGG